GAUGAACGCUGGCGGCGUGCCUAAUACAUGCAAGUAGAACGCUGAAGGAAGGAGCUUGCUCUUUCCGGAUGAGUUGCGAACGGGUGAGUAACGCGUAGGUAACCUGCCUGGUAGCGGGGGAUAACUAUUGGAAACGAUAGCUAAUACCGCAUAACAGUAGAUGUUGCAUGAUAUCUACUUAAAAGGUGCAAUUGCACCACUACCAGAUGGACCUGCGUUGUAUUAGCUAGUUGGUGAGGUAACGGCUCACCAAGGCGAGGAUACAUAGCCGACCUGAGAGGGUGAUCGGCCACACUGGGACUGAGACACGGCCCAGACUCCUACGGGAGGCAGCAGUAGGGAAUCUUCGGCAAUGGACGGAAGUCUGACCGAGCAACGCCGCGUGAGUGAAGAAGGUUUUCGGAUCGUAAAGCUCUGUUGUAAGAGAAGAACGAGUGUGAGAGUGGAAAGUUCACACUGUGACGGUAUCUUACCAGAAAGGGACGGCUAACUACGUG
rnacentral:rRNA from 1 species